AGCGUAGGCGGACAUUUAAGUCAGGGGGUGAAAUCCCGGGGCUCAACCUCGGAAUUGCCUUUGAUACUGGGUGUCUUGAGUAUGAGAGAGGUGUGUGGAACUCCGAGUGUAGAGGUGAAAUUCGUAGAUAUUCGGAAGAACACCAGUGGCGAAGGCGACACACUGGCUCAUUACUGACGCUGAGGCUCGAAAGCGUGGGGAGCAAACA
rnacentral:rRNA from 1 species